UACGUAGGGUCCGAGCGUUGUCCGGAAUUACUGGGCGUAAAGCGUGCGCAGGCGGCUUCUUAGGCAUGACGUGAAAGCCCCGGGCUCAACCCGGGGAGGGUCGUCGUGAACCGGGGGGCUUGAGGCCGGUAGAGGUGGGUGGAACUCCUGGUGGAGUGGUGAAUGCGUAGAGAUCAGGAAGAACACCCGUGGCGAAGGCGGCCCACUGGGCCGGUAC
rnacentral:rRNA from 1 species